rnacentral:rRNA from 1 species
GACGAACGCUGGCGGCGUGCUUAACACAUGCAAGUCGAACGGUGAAUCUCUUCGGAGGGGAUCAGUGGCGAACGGGUGAGUAACACGUGGGCAACCUGCCCCCGGCUCUGGGAUAACUCCAAGAAAUUGGGGCUAAUACCGGAUGUUCACCGCUUCCCGCAUGGGUGGUGGUGGAAAGGGUUUCCGGCUGGGGAUGGGCCCGCGGCCUAUCAGCUUGUUGGCGGGGUAGUGGCCUACCAAGGCGACGACGGGUAGCCGGCCUGAGAGGGUGACCGGCCACACUGGGACUGAGACACGGCCCAGACUCCUACGGGAGGCAGCAGUGGGGAAUAUUGCGCAAUGGGCGGAAGCCUGACGCAGCGACGCCGCGUGGGGGAUGACGGCCUUCGGGUUGUAAACCUCUUUCAGCAGGGACGAAGCGCAAGUGACGGUACCUGCAGAAGAAGCACCGGCCAACUACGUG